GACGAACGCUGGCGGCGUGCCUAAUACAUGCGAGUAGAACGCUGAAGGAGGAGCUUGCUUCUCUGGAUGAGUUGCGAACGGGUGAGUAACGCGUAGGUAACCUGCCUGGUAGCGGGGGAUAACUAUUGGAAACGAUAGCUAAUACCGCAUAAUAGCAGUUGUUGCAUGACAACUGUUUGAAAGGUGCAAUUGCACCACUACCAGAUGGACCUGCGUUGUAUUAGCUAGUUGGUGGGGUAACGGCUCACCAAGGCGACGAUACAUAGCCGACCUGAGAGGGGGAUCGGCCACACUGGGACUGAGACACGGCCCAGACUCCUACGGGAGGCAGCAGUAGGGAAUCUUCGGCAAUGGACGGAAGUCUGACCGAGCAACGCCGCGGGAGUGAAGAAGGUUUUCGGAUCGUAAAGCUCUGUUGUAAGAGAAGAACGAGUGUGAGAGUGGAAAGUUCACACUGUGACGGUAUCUUACCAGAAAGGGACGGCUAACUACGUG
rnacentral:rRNA from 1 species